rnacentral:snoRNA from 1 species
ACCAAUUUACAUUUACAUUUCAAGAACGAGUAUUAUUGUAGUGGAUUUGUGGCAUUUCCUAGACAAUAUCUUCUCUACAACUCGGUUCGAGAUCGACUGCGACCCGCAGACUCAAGCGCUGGCAGGUUGUCUUACGCCUGCCAGACUGUCUGCGGUCUUACAAAAAGCUCUCU